UGGGCCGAUGAUACACAUAUAGAGUUGAUGGCAGCAUAGAGAAUUAAGGCCGAGCUAUACAUAAGGAUAAAUAAGGAGAGAGCUUGCCGGAAAGGUGCUGCAGACUGCAGAUGGUGAAAAUCUCAGGAAUAAAGCAAGUAGGAGGGGCGCCCGAGUACGCACAAGUUUUUUUUCCCAAAGAUCAAGGGGAGACACGGAAGGUGGCUAGCACCUGGUCAUGGUGGUGGUUGCUGGCCCGAUGCAACAGAUGCCUACUCUUAUUCCACUCUUCCUUCUCUUUAUCCUCUUCUUAGCUCUUCUUCUUCUUCUUUUUCUUCUUCUUCUUCUUCAGUAUUAUUAUUUUUUUUUACUAUUUUGUAUAUGUAUAAAAGUACGCGUGACAUAUAAAUACUAUUUUUGGCGCGUGGCCCGACUUGUCAAAUUAUUUAACGCUAUCCACUAUUCUACCGAAAUUUUUUUUUCCAUUCUAGUACAACCUGAACCAAAUAAUUUUUUUUUUUUUUCAAAUUUUGGUAUUUUAAAAUAAAUUUAAAAAAUAUUUAAACCACAAAUAAAGCGGUGUAUCAUGAAAAAUAAGAAACAUAAGCCGCAAAAGCAAUAACAGAUUGUUUAGUUGGCCUUCUGCUACGGCUGCUGUUGCUGCUACUGCUGCUGCUGCUGAUACAACUGACGCUCUUACAUGUUCCAACAUCUUCGUUUUACGUGGCGACUGACUCUUCUGUUCAUCACAUCACUGGCAUAUGUUAUAAAAAAAAAUCAGUGAAGAAUCGUCGUCUUUACCUUCAGGACAUGAGGACUCAUCCUGGCAAGAUGGUCGACUGGGUGGUGGACAAAUGGUUGGCUACAUGCACCAGUUUUGGUCACAUCACACGACACCGUCUGGCGUUUAAUGUGGACGAAAUAAAAUGCCACCUCGCCACCUGCUUCAUCACCCAGCAUCCACAUCCACAUCCACAUCCACAUCUACACAUCACCUUGCAGUAACUGUUAGCCAUCCUGAUGUUUAUUUAUGCGAACACGUGUCCAGUAUCUCUUAUUACUGACAUUUAAUACAAUUAAAAAUUAAUAAUAGUAUCGCAUCAUGCAGCCAAUUUUUAAAAAUAUUUCAAAUUAUAUUUUAUUUAUUGUUUAUAAAAAUUAUACAUAUGCAUAUAUAUCGAUAUAUCAAUAAUAUACAACUAUAGUUUUGAAUAAAGCAACAGAUGGUCGUGUAAGCUUGACAGUCUGACGGAUGCUGCCGGCAGAUCUGUUCCCUCACUAUUCAAAAUGUACAUACUACCUACCGUCUAUAGCAUAUAUAUACAUAUAUACAAACGUAUAUUCCUAAGACAUCAUCAUGAUAAUUAUUUUCAUUCCUUGUGUAUAUCAAUGGCACGUGUUCGUCAAAAAUACCAGUUACAUUUUGUGUUGAAGAAAUUUUUUAUUUAAUUUAAAUAAUUCCGUUGGUAAAUUUAAAAAAAAAAAAAUAUUAUAAUUAAGUCUGAGACCCUUGAUAGAUCUUCUUUCUAUAUAUAGAUAUAUAUCUAUAUAGACUUUGACCUCAACCUAUGUCCACUUCCUUUAAAAAUCCCCUCGUAUCAACGUGUGUAUGUGUAUAUCGGAUCACCCGGGCGUCAAACUCGCGAUCUCCAAGUAAUCGAAUCUCUGCACCUCCUGUAGAGGCACCUGCCAGCAACAAACACCCAAGAAAAGACAGCACUCGCACUCCCCAUUUGCUUAUUACUUGAUAAUUAUUAUUUAGAUAAAUGUUUGUUUAUUUUUAUCUUAUUCUCUGAAAAUAAUUUUAUCGCCAGGUGAGAAACUUAUUUACUCAUCAUCAGUUUGCUCACCUUGCUUCCUCUCGAGAGUUUGCCAGCAACAAUCUCAAUGCAAAUGUUUAUUAAAACCAGCGACAUAAUCAGCUGAUUUUAUUAUCAUUAUUAAUAAUAAUCAAUUUUUUAUCUACUGAAAGGCUUAAAUAGAAAAAGAAAAAAAAUCAUCACUCAAAGAAAUAAAUGAAAUGAAUAAUAAACUGUCGAUGAUGGUCAUAUUACCCAAGUGAAUUUUUAUAAAAUAAUUUUAGAGUAAAUCGGAUAGGAUAUAGGAUUUUUUGAGAGUAGAGACAACUCGGUUGCGAUACGACGUUUAGCUGUCGAUGUGCUCAAGAUGCCAAGAGGAGGGACAGCUGCCGUACUUUUCAUAACAUCUGGCGGUAUCCGAUACUUAUUGCCACGCGCCACUUG